rnacentral:rRNA from 1 species
AGUGAACGCUGGCGGUAGGCCUAACACAUGCAAGUCGAACGGCAGCACAGUAAGAGCUUGCUCUUACGGGUGGCGAGUGGCGGACGGGUGAGGAAUACAUCGGAAUCUACUUUUUCGUGGGGGAUCACGUAGGGAAACUUACGCUAAUACCGCAUACGACCUACGGGUGAAAGCAGGGGAUCUUCGGACCUUGCGCGAUUGAAUGAGCCGAUGUCGGAUUAGCUAGUUGGCGGGGUAAAGGCCCACCAAGGCGACGAUCCGUAGCUGGUCGGAUAGGAGGAUAGGCCACACUGGAACUGAGACACGGUCCAGACUCCUACGGGAGGCACCAGUGGGGAAUAGUGGACAAUGGGCGCAAGCCUGAUCCAGCCAUACCGCGUGGGUGAAGAAGGCCUUCGGGUUGUAAAGCCCUUUUGUUGGGAAAGAAAAGCAGCAGGUUAAUACCCCGCUGUUCUGACGGUACCCAAAGAAUAAGCACCGGCUAACUUCGUG